AGCUGAUCUAAUAAGACUCAUGUCAAAGCAUCUCAUUCCAUAGAAUGCACAGCCUGCAUCACGUGGGAACUCCAGUGCAUUUUGCUUGACUGGAUUAUGUACAGGAAACACAGUCAACAGGAGCAGCAAGAGGACCAAGUUCAGGCCUUCCCCAAAAGCACCAGCAUAUCUGCCCAGAAGUUCUUGUUAUAGAUGACUACUGGAUCUUGUUUAACUUGCUUCCUACCACAACAAUAUUCAUAAACACAAGAGACUCUGCAGAUGCUGAAGAUUCAAAACAACACAAACAAAAUGCUGGCGGAACUCAGGAGCUCAGGAAGCAUCUAUGGAAAUGAAUAGACGGUCAACGUCUCAGGACAAGACCCUUCUUUAGGACUCAGUUAACAAUUUUCGUUAUGUUUAUCAGAUGGCAAAUGCUUGACAAGCUCUUGAAAGGUAAACCACAAGUUCAUGUAGAAGAUUGUUGUCAGAGGUUAUAAAGGCAGAAUUAUCACCAAAUAAAAUAUUCCAGAUAAGCAUCUUUCAGACUUUGGCCAUUUCCAUGAGUCAUGACAGGAUGAAGUUUUCCAUCUGAUCUCACACAUGUUUAAGCACCCAAUUUGGAAGUACCAUGAGGAAGCCAUCUCAUGGUAUCCGAUUCCAUCUCUAACUUCAAUUGGAAUUGUUUUUUUUUAACUUUUAGAAUAGCCUUAUAUAAGUUAAAUCUAGACUUCUUGUAUAGUUCUGGAUCACUGGUCUUGAAUACCAACCAUCAAACCCUCAGCAGACUACAAAUGUUCUGGUUCAUCCACGGCUUCUGGUUUGGGUAUAUCCAGUACGUUUUUGAAGGCACAUGUUCAGCCACUUAGGUUUUGAUGAAGUUGGUGAUAACUGAGGCAUAUUCACUCAGAUCUGAAGAUGAAUCCCUGAACAUUGUCCAGUCCACCAACUCAAAGCAGUCCUGUCAGCACUCCUCUGCCUCUCUCGACCAUACCUUCUUGGUCCUCACCACUGGUUCUGCAUUCUUUAGACUCUGCCUGUAGGCCAGGAGCAGAAGUACAGCCAGGUGAUCUGACCUUCCAAAGUGUAGGCAUUAGAUGGCACGAUGGUAAGCAUUCUUCAUGGUGGUAUAGUAUAGAGUCAGUCAUAGAAAAGUAUAGCACAGAAAGAGGCCCUUCCAGCCCAUCUACUCCAAGCCGAAGCUAUUUAAACUUCCUAGACCAUCGAUCUGCACCAGGACCAGAGUCCUCCAUAUCCUUACUAUCCAUGUAUCUAUCCAAACUUCGCUUAAAAGUCAAGCUCACAUGCAUCACUUGUACUGGUAGCUCAUUCCACACUCUCACCACCCUCUGAGAAAGCGGUUCCCCCAUGUUCUCCUUGAACUUUUCACCUUUCACCCUUAACCCGUGACCUCUGAGUGUAGUCCCACCCAACCUUAGUAGAAAAAACCGCUUGCUUUUACCCUAUCAAUAUCCCUCAUAAUUUUGCAUGCCUCUAUUAAAUCUUCUCUCAAUCUUCUAUGUUCCAAUGAAUAAAGUCCUAACUUAUUCAAUCUUAUAACUUGGAUCCUCCAGUCCCAGCAAUAUCCUUGUAAAUUUUCUCUGUAGUCUUUCAAUCUUAUUUACAUUUUUCCUGUAAGUAGGUGACCAAAAUUGCACACAAUACUCUAAAUUCAGCCUCACCAAUAUCUUAUACAACUUCAACAUAGCAACCCAUUACCUGUACUCAACACUUUGACUUAUGAAGGCCAACAUGCCAAAAAUUUUCUUUACAAACUUAUCUAUUUGUGAUGGCACUUCCAACAGAUUAUAGAUCUGUAUUCCUAGAUCCCUUUGUUCUACAACACAUGAAAGCAUUAAAAAUUGUGAGGGAUUACAGAAGGAACAAACUGGAAAAAAACUACAUCCUUUAAGAGAGAGGUCAAAAACUAUGUGACACAGACUUUAAAUGAUUGGUGGCAAGAUCAGAACAUGAGGCAUUUUUUUUCCACCAAAUGGGCUGUAGGAGUCUGAAACUUCUUGAAAGGGCAAUAGAAGCAGAGAUCUUGAUUACACUUGAAAAAAAAAAUUGGAUGUGUACUUGAAGAGACAUGAUCUACAGUAUAAAAAUACAGGCUUAACACUGAAAAUCAGGAUUAAAUUCUGGACCAUUUCACAGCCUAAACAAAUAGAAUGGAUUGAAUCUAUGAUGCGAAUUUUCUGUGGUUUUAUUUUAAAUUGUCUAAAUAUGCUCAAGGAAGCUAAGGUGUCUUUUCUGGAGGAGAGAUUAUUCUCUACUGUUGGCAGUGAAAAAGUAAAUUAACUUGCAGUUAAUUUGUUUGAUAAAGUACAUUAUACUUCACUAUGCAAAACUGAUUUUUUAAAAUGAGAUAAUUGUGUGGUUUUAAGCUAUUUGAGCUGGAGUAAUUUAAUAAUGGAUGUAAAAAUUUAGCUUUGCAGUUUUCCAGUGUUUUGGAUAUUUGAAAGUAAAGAGAGCUCGAUUUAAGCUGACAAAAUCGUAUCUAAAAUUACAGAACACUGUCAAGUAUGGAUGCCAGCCUUGGCAAAUUAGAGAACUCAAUGAACUAGGCUCAGUGGUUACUUUAUUAGAUACAGGAAUGUACCGAAUAAAAGUAGCCACAGGAGUGGAAUGCAGUGUGGUCUUCCGUUGUUGUAGUCCAUUCACUUCAAGGUUCGAUGUGUUGUGCAUUCAGAGAUGAUCUUCUGCACAUCACUGUUGUAAUGCAUGGUUAGUUGUUUUUGCCAAUGGAACUGCUGCUCACUGGAUGUUUUGUGUUUUUUUGCACCAUUCUCUGUAAACUUGUGCGUGAAAUUCCCAGGAGAUCAGCAAUUUCUGAGAUAGUCAAACCAUCCUGUCUAGCAUCAAUGAUUAUUCUAUGGUCAAGGUCACUUAGAUUGCAUUUCUUCCCCAUUUUGACGUUUGGUCUGAACAACAAAUGAACCUCUUUGCCAAGUUUGCAUGCUUUUAUGCAUAAAGUUGCAGCUACAUGAUUCGCUGAUUAAAUAUUUGUGUAAAUGAGGUGUACAGGUAGACCAAAUAAAGUGGCCACUGAGUGCAUGUUUGUAUUUGAUAGUAGGAUUCGAAUAAAUAAGACACUUAAGCAAUAUGAACUUCUGACUAUGGUAUAAAAUGUUCUCAUCUACCUUAGACGUGCAUCAUAAAUAGAUAGACAAGUCCAAACUUCCCUUAGUCCAAGAUAGGCUAAUAUUUCCAAAAAAAUCUCUCUCCCUAGGUUACAAUUACUGAGGAGAUCAAGAAUGAAAGUAAUGGGAUGGCUGCAUAAUUAUAUCAACCUGCAUUUGCAAAGAAUUAUAUGGUUCCCCUAACAUUGAAAAAUAUUCCAGUAUGCCUAAUGGGUGCAUUAUCAAACAAAAUAUGAUACUGAGUUAAGUAGAGAGGUAUUAAAUUAGCUGGUCAAAGUCUGGAAGUGGAAUCAGAAUAGUUGGAGAUAAGAGAUAACGACAGACACAAUAAAAUGUCAGAAUAGUUUACAAGUCCUCAGUCCCCAACAGCAUCGAUUGCAGAGAACAUGGCACAAUGGCCUGGCGCCAAAUGGUACUGCUGCCACAUAGCUCUAACAAUCUGAGUUUGACCCGACCUUGUUAGCAGAAUUAAGGUGGGUUCAGGCAGGCUGAAUUACUAGCUACAACCCAGCACAAAUGGAAAGCAAUGGGCUGACUGGAUUCGAACCCGGGACAACUCACCUCGAAGUCCGGUGCUGAUGCCACAACACCAGUGGCUACCAUAAGUGGAAACUCCAAAACCACAGCAUCAUCAAAACAUCACCAGUUCACUAGUUCUCAACUGAUUACAUUUAGUUUUUGGUUAAUCAGCCCUGAACGAUCGUAUGGUUUAAAAAAAAACAAUUCUAAAAAGAUUAGCUUUAUUUGUCAUACGUAAAUUAAAGUAUACAUUAAAAUGCAUCAUCUGUGUCAAAACAAAUCUGCGAGGAUUGUAGUUAAGGGAAGCUUGCAAGUGUUGCCAUGUUUCCUGCCAACAUAGCAUACCCACAAGUUAUUAACGGUAACUGUACAUCUUUGGACUGUGGGAGGAAAUCGGAGCAUCUGGAGAAAGCCCAUGUGGUCAUGGGGAGAAUGUACAAACUCUUCACCAACAGUAGCAGGAAUUCAAAGGUCCACAAGGUUCAAAGGUUUAUUUCUUUAUCAAAGUAUGUAUGCAGAGUACAACUGAGAUUUGUCUUCUCUAGAUAGCCAUAAAAUACAGAAAACCAUA